rnacentral:rRNA from 1 species
UACGGAGGGUGCAAGCGUUAAUCGGAAUUACUGGGCGUAAAGCGCGCGUAGGCGGCUGGGUAAGUCAGAUGUGAAAGCCCCGGGCUCAACCUGGGAAUUGCAUUUGAUACUGCCUGGCUAGAGUCUGUCAGAGGGUGGCGGAAUUCCGGGUGUAGCGGUGAAAUGCGUAGAUAUCCGGAGGAACACCAGUGGCGAAGGCGGCCACCUGGGACGAGACUGACGCUGAGGUGCGAAAGCGUGGGGAGCAAACAGGAUUAGAUACCCCCGUA